rnacentral:rRNA from 1 species
AGUGAACGCUGGCGGUAGGCCUAACACAUGCAAGUCGAACGGCAGCACAGUAAGAGCUUGCUCUUACGGGUGGCGAGUGGCGGACGGGUGAGGAAUACAUCGGAAUCUACUUUUUCGUGGGGGAUAACGUAGGGAAACUUACGCUAAAACCGCAUACGACCUACGGGUGAAAGCAGGGGAUCUUCGGACCUUGCGCGAUUGAAUGAGCCGAUGUCGGAUUAGCUAGUUGGCGGGGUAAAGGCCCACCAAGGCGACGAUCCGUAGCUGGUCUGAGAGGAUGAUCAGCCACACUGGAACUGAGACACGGUCCAGACUCCUACGGGAGGCAGCAGUGGGGAAUAUUGGACAAUGGGCGCAAGCCUGAUCCAGCCAUACCGCGUGGGUGAAGAAGGCCUUCGGGUUGUAAAGCCCUUUUGUUGGGAAAGAAAAGCAGCAGGUUAAUACCCCGCUGUUCUGACGGUACCCAAAGAAUAAGCACCGGCUAACUUCGUG